GAUGAACGCUGGCGGCGUGCCUAAUACAUGCAAGUCGAGCGAACAGACGAGGAGCUUGCUCCUCUAACGUUAGCGGCGGACGGGUGAGUAACACGUGGAUAACCUACCUAUAAGACUGGGAUAACUUCGGGAAACCGGAGCUAAUACCGGAUAAUAUAUUGAACCGCAUGGUUCAAUAGUGAAAGACGGUUUUGCUGUCACUUAUAGAUGGAUCCGCGCCGCAUUAGCUAGUUGGUAAGGUAACAGCUUACCAAGGGAACGAUGCGUAGCCGACCUGAGAGGGUGAUCGGCCACACUGGAACUGAGACACGGUCCAGACUCCUACGGGAGGCAGCAGUAGGGAAUCUUCCGCAAUGGGCGAAAGCCUGACGGAGCAACGCCGCGUGAGUGAUGAAGGUCUUCGGAUCGUAAAACUCUGUUAUUAGGGAAGAACAAAUGUGUAAGUAACUAUGCACGUCUUGACGGUACCUAAUCAGAAAGCCACGGCUAACUACGUG
rnacentral:rRNA from 1 species